UACGAAGGGGGCUAGCGUUGCUCGGAAUCACUGGGCGUAAAGGGCGCGUAGGCGGCCAUUCAAGUCGGGGGUGAAAGCCUGUGGCUCAACCACAGAAUUGCCUCGAUACUGUUUGGCUUGAGUUUGGUAGAGGUUGGUGGAACUGCGAGUGUAGAGGUGAAAUCAUAGAUAUUCGCAAGAACACCAGUGGCGAAGGCGGCCAACUGGACC
rnacentral:rRNA from 1 species